rnacentral:tRNA from 1 species
GGGCCUGUAGCUCAGUUGGCCAGAGCGCUACAUUUGCAAUGUAGAGGUCAGCGGUUCGAAGCCGCUCAGGUCCA